GGAGUCAUGAAGGGGGCCGGGAGGGCACCACUACCGUGAGCCCUGCAGCCCUCUCCCUGUGACUGCCUCCUGGAGGUCAGAGUCAAGGUCAAGGCCCAGGAGGGGUCAGCAGGGGGAUGCAAUGACACCAUGGCCACGUGCCCACCUGGCAGCCUAGGGGUCAGAUAGGGUGGGGACACAGGGCAGCAGACAGUGGGCUGGGCACAGGGAGGAUGGCAGGGUCAGAAACCCUCUGGGCUACAGACCUCAGCUCAGGCGGACACAGCCAGCGGCCCACACCGGCGGGACCAGCAGGCCCCUGCGUCUGACACCCUGAGUAGACGUCCCGGCGCGAGCAGAAAGGAUGACGGGAAGGGGGCGGGGCCAGAGGAGUCACGUGCAUCCGGGAUGGACGACGGGAAGGAGAAGGCGCCCAGGAGCCGCCGUCCCCUCGCGGGGCAGCCAGGCCUCGGCGUGGUGGCCUUAGGGGCUGGGCCGGGAGCCCGCGUAGAGGAGGAGGAGGAAGCUGCGGUGAUCGCGCCCGAGGGCUCCGCGGGGUGCGCACUCACCGCCCAGGCCCUCAGGAGGCCGCCGCCCGCUCUCCACUCCGGGCCCGCAGGACCGCCAUGGACCCGGUUGCUCUGCGCGGAAGCUGCAGGAGGCAGUCCAGAUAUUCACGUUGUCAAACUGAAAUCCUGGAGCAGAGUUUCUACAACUAGGCAUCUUAUGAUAUCCUGAUUCAAUCAGAAGUCACCCGAAGCGUCAUUUCCUGUGAAGUGAACAGAAAUCGCAUACAGACAUUGGUGGACACAUUGAGAAGCUGGCACCUCCUGAGAACUGAGAAUAGGGCUCUGCUCUCCCCUCCCUCUCUCUGUCCCUUCUUCCCUUUGCUUCCUCCCUCUCCCAAAUCCCUUCCGUCUGUCCUUCCAUCUUUCCUUAGCCAGACAAGGAGAUGUCACACAGUCUGUGUCCUGGCAAGGAGUAUAGAGGGAGCGAGGGAAUUUAUUACAGGCAUUAACAUCUGCAAAUGCUAGUUUACGGGAUACAUGAUGUUGAAGGAGGAAAAAUGAAAAGUGCAGAUCCCCACGCUGCAGUGUGUGAUACACCAUCGGUCUCAUUGCCAGGCAAGGCUUCACCGGAUGGCCAGUGAGGAAGGCCGGUGCACAUCCACAGUGAGGGCAGAGAAGUUCUCCGAGACGAAGACACCAACAUGGCAAUGAAGCCAUCCAUCCGCAGCCCUCAGUCCAAUGCAUCAGACCCAGAGGCUGGAGGAGCCUUUCAAAAAGACAACAUAACCCCCUGCACACGGCAUAACUCAUGGUGCAGGGCCAGGAGACACGGCACCUGCUCCUCACGAGACUCCCGCCCAAGUCCGAUUGGUCAGCGAUGGUGGAGAGAAAUGACCCUUGGCCAACUGCUCCUUGACCUCUGUGUCCCAUUUCCGAACUCCUUGUGAUUCUAAAAUUCACCCCGCAGUUGUCAUCUCAGGGAACUGACGUCUGACUGUGAAUCCUGGACUCUGACUUGGCUCCAAAUUGUCCCUGCAUAUGGGCUGUUCCACAGAAAGGUGAGAGCUUCAUGCCAUCCAGAAACAUGGCGUUACCUGUCCUGAAGAGCUGGCAGGUGUGCACACGAAGCUAGGGUGGAAGGAGCGUUCAAGUGCUCUCCCAUCGCGGACAGUCAGCCUGGGGUCAGGGAGUGUAGGGCUGACCAGGUCUCCUGGCCAGGGUCAUCCUGUGCCCCGUGCGUCCCGUGUGGUUGCAUCCCUCAGCUGCAGGGUGAUGUCAGGAUGGU
ensembl:lincRNA